rnacentral:lncRNA from 1 species
AUGCUUGGAAAACAUCUCACUGCUCAUGCCCUGAAUAAACAUGGGUUGUGCAAGAUCCUUGUAAAACGCGAAGUGAGUUACAGAACCAAAUGGCCGCCCCUGACACAGGCACUGUGCCUCUUUCCUACUGUCUUUAUGCUGGCCUGUCACAGCUCUCCUUGCCCUUGGUUUUCACAGGAGUGCAUUGGGGUAAUUUACCUCCACUACCGCCGAUCAAACAGAGAAGAGAAAAUAACGCCAGUGUGUACUAUAACAGGAAGCAAGCCCACCCAGCAACCCGGCCUUCUCCGGCCUGCGCGGAGCAGGCCGCUUAGCACCUGCCGCGCAGCAGCCGCCAUCGAAGCGCUCCCCGCCCGCAGCGGCACCGCCCCCCGCGCCUGCGCACGGCCCGGAUCUGGGUUUAGGGCCGGGGAAACUGCGUCGCGCUCGGAGCCUCUGGCCCUGCUGUUUCUGUGUGCCUGGCGGAGCCCGGCCCGGCCUGCCGAGCAGAGCUCUCUCUUGACAAACUCUGAAUUCAAGGAAACUCUACAGAAGUUUAAGGAGACUGGAGCAUAUGCAUCAGUUACAAGGGAGAGACUGGGUCCCAGCACAGCUGUUAAGAUAACAAAGUAGGAUGUGAGAAUUUUUUGACAGUAUAGAAGCUGUUAGGUACAAAGAUAAUUUAUUCUCAGAACUAUUGUCCAACAUAUAAGCACUGGAUAAAAGAAUGAGGUGUUCUUAAGUGUUAGUCAAUUGUUAAGAGGUUCAAUGCUUGUUGUGUGGUUCAGGAGUGGUAAAGAGCAUACUGGAGGAAUGCGUUUCACUUGAAAUUGCAGGUUUUCUCAUCUGUAAAAUGGGAUAUUAAUCUCCUAAAUCACUGGUGGUAGAAAAAGGCUAUUAAAUUGUAAUUAUUGAAGUUUAUGUGUGCUUGGCAAUGAAGGAUACAUCUGCAUUACUGUUUUAAUUUAAAUCAAGGGUGUGAAAUGAAUUUGCAGCUAUCCUUGCUUGCUGCUCUUCAGUUCACAUCAUGGUGUGAUCAGAAAGUGUGUGAACUCUCUUCCUGUUGAAAGAAACUAAAACUAGAUGAUGUGCUUCAGUUGCUGGUGGCUGUUCAGUCUCAGCUAGAGCUAGUAUGAAAUAAAACUCACAAAAUCAUGUAUAGUGGGUGUUGG